GCCGCGGGGGCCGGUCGUGCUCUGCCCGGCUCGGUCUGCGAGCACAGGGGCAGGAGGUAGGUCGGUCUCCGCCCCCACCUUGACGUCCUGGACUCUGACCCUGCAGCGCUUCCCAGGCGGCUGACCUUUCCCUCGGUGCCCGUUAGCGAAGGGUCUCCUGCUUGGUGUGUUGGCCUGCCCGAGUGGCCCUGCCGCUGUUGCAAGCAGCUUGGAAAGGUGUACAGACAUAGGGGGAUCUCUGGUUCAUAGGAAAUAAGACGCCUUGUGAGACAUUUGAACGCAGACCCUUAACUAGUUGCAGGGUCAGUCGUCAGAGAUGGGCAUUUGUCUAACCCUUUCCUAACGUGUGCUUAAGGCCUGGAUGAGGAGGAUGGCGCUGAGGCUGCGAACCAGGAGACCAGAACGCACCGACGGGUUUUAGACCACCCUGCGGGAGGAGGCGCUGGCCAUAGCCGCCGCAGGCAGACACGGGCCGGGUGCGGGCC
rnacentral:lncRNA from 1 species